rnacentral:rRNA from 1 species
UAGUCCAUACCGUAAACGAUGUUUACUCGAUGCUGGCGAUAUACAGUCAGUGUCUAAGCGAAAGUGAUAAGUAAACCACCUGGGGAGUACGGUCGCAAGAAUGAAACUCAAAGGAAUUGACGGGGGCCCGCACAAGCGGUGGAGCAUGUGGUUUAAUUCGAUGAUACGCGAGGAACCUUACCAGGGCUUAAAUGUAAGUUGCAUGGGGGCAGAGACGCCCCUUUCUUCGGACCACUUACAAGGUGCUGCAUGGUUGUCGUCAGCUCGUGCCGUGAGGUGUCAGGUUAAGUCCUAUAACGAGCGCAACCCCUACCGUUAGUUGCCAGCAAGUAAAGUUGGGGACUCUAGCGGGACUGCCGGUGCAAACCGAGAGGAAGGUGGGGACGACGUCAAAUCAUCACGGCCCUUACGUCCUGGGGCCACACACGUGCUACAAUGGGCCGGUACAGAGGGG